GCAUCGGUAGUUCAGUGGUAAAAUACUCGCCUGCCACGCGGGCGGCCCGGGUUCGAUUCCCGGCCGCGCGAUGCA
rnacentral:tRNA from 1 species